rnacentral:rRNA from 1 species
UACGUAGGGUGCAAGCGUUGUCCGGAAUUACUGGGCGUAAAGCGCGCGUAGGCGGCUUUGUAAGUUAGAGGUGAAAGCCCGGAGCUCAACUCCGGAACUGCCUUUAAGACUGCAUCGCUAGAAUUGUGGAGAGGUAAGUGGAAUUCCGAGUGUAGAGGUGAAAUUCGUAGAUAUUCGGAAGAACACCAGUGGCGAAGGCGACUUACUGGACACAUAUUGACGCUGAGGUGCGAAAGCGUGGGGAGCAAACAGG